AAUGAACGCUGGCGGCGUGCUUAACACAUGCAAGUCGUGCGCGAAAGCGGCUUCGGCCGCGUGUAGAGCGGCGAACGGGUGAGUAACACGUGGACAACCUGCCCAAGAGUGGGGGAUAACCUGGGGAAACUCGGGCUAAUACCGCAUACGUUCGUGGGGCUUCGGCCCUGCGCAGAAAGGUGGCCUAUGCUUGCAAGCCACCGCUCCUGGAGGGGUCCGCGUCUGAUUAGCUAGUUGGCGGGUAAUGGCCCACCAAGGCGACGAUCAGUAGCCGGCUUGAGAGGGUGAUCGGCCACACUGGAACUGAGACACGGUCCAGACUCCUACGGGAGGCAGCAGUGGGGAAUAUUGGACAAUGGGGAAACCCUGAUCCAGCAACGCCGCGUGGAGGAUGAAGGUCUUCGGAUU
rnacentral:rRNA from 1 species